AUAUAGAUUAAGUUAUUAAGGGCGCACGGUGGAUGCCUUGGCACUAGAAGCCGAUGAAGGACGUUACUAACGACGAUAUGCUUUGGGGAGCUGUAAGUAAGCUUUGAUCCAGAGAUUUCCGAAUGGGGAAACCCAGCACGAGUUAUGUCGUGUUAUCUGCAUGUGAAUACAUAGCAUGCAAGAAGGCAGACCCGGAGAACUGAAACAUCUUAGUACCCGGAGGAAGAGAAAGAAAAAUCGAUUCCCUGAGUAGCGGCGAGCGAAACGGGAAGAGCCCAAACCAAUAAGCUUGCUUAUUGGGGUUGUAGGACACUCUGUACGGAGUUACAAAAGAAUUUGUUAGACGA
rnacentral:rRNA from 1 species